rnacentral:rRNA from 1 species
UACGUAGGUGGCAAGCGUUGUCCGGAUUUAUUGGGUUUAAAGGGUGCGUAGGCGGUUGAUUAAGUCAGUUGUGAAAUACGGCAGCUUAACUGUCGAGGUGCAAUUGAUACUGGUUGACUUGAGUACAGACGAGGUAGGCGGAAUUGACGGUGUAGCGGUGAAAUGCAUAGAUAUCGUCAAGAACACCGAUGGCGAAGGCAGCCUCCUGGGCCAGCACUGACGCUCAUGCACGAAAGCGUGGGGAGCAAACAGG